UGGGGAGUAUUGCACAAUGGGGAAAGCCCUGAUGCAGCAACGCCGCGUGAAGGAAGAAGGUCUUCGGAUUGUAAACUUCUGUCCUCAGGGAAGAUAAUGACGGUACCUGAGGAGGAAGCUCCGGCUAACUACGUGCCAGCAGCCGCGGUAAUACGUAGGGAGCGAGCGUUGUCCGGAUUUACUGGGUGUAAAGGGUGCGUAGGCGGAUCUGCAAGUCAGUAGUGAAAUCCCAGGGCUUAACCCUGGAACUGCUAUUGAAACUGUGGGUCUUGAGUGAGGUAGAGGCAGGCGGAAUUCCCGGUGUAGCGGUGAAAUGCGUAGAGAUCGGGAGGAACACCAGUGGCGAAGGCGGCCUGCUGGGCCUUAACUGACGCUGAGGCACGAAAGCAUGGGUAGCAAACAGGAUUAGAUACCC
rnacentral:rRNA from 1 species